CUGCACUGUGGGAUGAGGUAGUAGGUUGUAUAGUUUUAGGGUCAUACCCACAACUGGGAGAUAACUAUACAAUCUACUGUCUUUCCUAAAGCAGCAGAAAA
rnacentral:pre_miRNA from 1 species